rnacentral:rRNA from 1 species
AUUGAACGCUGGCGGCAUGCCUUACACAUGCAAGUCGAACGGCAGCACGGGAGCAAUCCUGGUGGCGAGUGGCGAACGGGUGAGUAAUAUAUCGGAACGUGCCCAGUCGUGGGAGAUAACGUAGCGAAAGCUACGCUAAUACCGCAUACGAUCUAUGGAUGAAAGCGGGGGAUCGCAAGACCUCGCGCGAUUGGAGCGGCCGAUAUCAGAUUAGGUAGUUGGUGGGGUAAAGGCUCACCAAGCCGACGAUCUGUAGCUGGUCUGAGAGGACGACCAGCCACACUGGGACUGAGACACGGCCCAGACUCCUACGGGAGGCAGCAGUGGGGAAUUCUGGACAAUGGGCGCAAGCCUGAUCCAGCAAUGCCGCGUGCAGGAUGAAGGCCUUCGGGUUGUAAACUGCUUUUGUACGGAGCGAAAAGGCUUCCACUAAUACUGGGGGCUCAUGACGGUACCGUAAGAAUAAGCACCGGCUAACUACGUGCCAGCAGCCGCGGUAAGAC